rnacentral:rRNA from 1 species
GACGAACCGUGCGAACGUUAUUCGGAAUCACUGGGCUUAAAGGGCGCGUAGGCGGGCUCGCAGGUCAGGGGUGAAAGCCCACGGCUCAACCGUGGAGGUGCCUUUGAUACCGUGAGUCUCGAGGGAGGUAGGGGCGUGCGGAACUUCCGGUGGAGCGGUGAAAUGCGUAGAUAUCGGAAGGAACAUCGGUGGCGAAAGCGGCGCGCUGGACCUCUUCUGACGCUGAGGCGCGAAAGCCAGGGGAGCAAACGGG